CCCUUAGAUGUUCUGGGCCGCACGCGUGCUACACUGAGUAAUUCAAUGGGUAAGGGAACGCUAGAGCAUUACCUAAUCUUGAAAUUUGCUUGUGAUGGGGAUCGACGGUUGCAAUUUUCCGUCGUGAACGAGGAAUACCUUGUAGGCGCAUGUCAUCAUCAUGCGCCGAAUACGUCCCUGCCCUUUGUACACACCGCCCGUCGCUCCUACCGAUUGAGUGAUCCGGUGAGGCUCUGGGACCUGGACGGAAAGAGCGUUUCGCUUGUUCUGUUUGGGAAACUUGGUCGAACCUUAUCAUUUAGAGGAAGGAGAAGUCGUAACA
rnacentral:rRNA from 1 species